GAUGAACGCUAGCGGCAGGCCUAACACAUGCAAGUCGAGGGGCAUCACGAGGUAGCAAUACUUUGGUGGCGACCGGCGCACGGGUGCGUAACGCGUAUGUAACCUACCUAUAACAGGGGCAUAACACUGAGAAAUUGGUACUAAUUCCCCAUAAUAUUCGGAGAGGCAUCUCUCCGGGUUGAAAACUCCGGUGGUUAUAGAUGGACAUGCGUUGUAUUAGCUAGUUGGUGAGGUAACGGCUCACCAAGGCAACGAUACAUAGGGGGACUGAGAGGUUAACCCCCCACACUGGUACUGAGACACGGACCAGACUCCUACGGGAGGCAGCAGUGAGGAAUAUUGGUCAAUGGACGCAAGUCUGAACCAGCCAUGCCGCGUGCAGGAAGACGGCUCUAUGAGUUGUAAACUGCUUUUGUACGAGGGUAAACUCACCUACGUGUAGGUGACUGAAAGU
rnacentral:rRNA from 1 species